CUUUUUGGCUUAUUCUUUCCUAGGUUUCUCCAUCAUCUCACCUAAGAUAAUCUCCGUAUGCUGCUUUUGUUUUCUUCUAGAGACUGGACUGUGAAGAGAAUAUUAUUUAAAACAAAAUCUUGUGAAAAGUAAUGUUCCACAAUGCACAGGCAAGACUAACCGUUAUCUUAAGAGGAGCGACACCAUAUCUCAUUACAAAGUUCAGUACCAUCCACACGUCAGCAUAACAUCUGCCUUUAUGGUUUUCGAAAGAGAAGCAGUCUUGGAAUUAUAUGGACAGAGAAAGUGUCCCAUCAUUCAGACCGUGCUUCGGUUAUACCAUGGAGAUUACAAAAAUACAACCUACAAAAAUGUACUCUACAUCAGCUACAGCUACAUUUAACUAUAGUCUGCAGAGAAAUUAAUGUCAAGUGUGGCAACAGGCGUCUUCCACAGGAAUGCGAUAGAGUUUCAGAGGCGACUGGACUCAUAAAAGCAUUCAGAAUUCUGAUUGACACACUGGAGCCAGGACUGUUGAGAGUGCCGUAGCACUAGGUUCUGCAGCUUGGAUAACAAAUCAUAACCCGACAGAGCUUCCAAGUUCACGUUGACCAGCAAGGCCCUCAAAGAAAUUGAGAGCGUUCAGAUCUGAGACUAAGCAAAUGCAGAAGUGGAUGCCCAAAUACUUACUACCGUGGCCAGAACUGUGUUUAUCAGGAUAUUGAAAACUAGGAGUUUAAUCCAACUUUUAUCUAGGCCAAUCCAAUCCCAAAUGGAUGAGAUAAAUUAGCAUUUUUGCAGCUGUACGGUCAGUAAACCAGAAUGGUGUAGAAUGAAGGCUCAGGAAUGUUGUAGGUAAGGUAAUUGAUUGCUAAUCUGUGCUCUUUUAAUGCCGAUCCGUGGUGUUGAAGUAUCAGUCUCUAAAACGAUGUUGUUAAAGGUAACUACUGUUAAAGGUAACUGAAACCAAAAAACUAUUCUUUAAAAACAUUGUUGUGAUAUGGUGAAUGAUAUGUAUUCUUGCAUUGUUUACCUUACCUGUCAGUGCUCUGUGCAGCAGCAUGCACCACGUGUACUACAUUAUUUAGAAAUAAGUGUCUUUUCUUAGCUCCUUACCACAUUGUAAGUCAGUAUUAUCAGUUAUAUAUGAAUGGGGCAGAUCUAUGGGUAAUUAAACAUCUGCUUGCAUAAGCACAAUGAAAAUAUAUUUAAUGGGGCAAAAAGGCACAUCUACAAAAUACGUAAGCCUUUGCAUGAAGGUGUAUAUGUUGGGAUUGUUUAUGACCUACUUGCAUAUGUAGUUACUUGAUUUUGCAAUUGCACCGAUUUCCCCUUUAAACGGUGCAGCCAGUGAGCGCAGUUUUAAGGCACGUCUUUGUACUCAUGUUUGAAAACAUAAUCCAAAAUACAGAUGCAUGAGCUUCAUAUUAAAAUGCACUUUUACAAGCAUUAAAAUAAAUGCAUAAAUACAACUGUGCUCA
rnacentral:lncRNA from 1 species